UAUUGAAUAGGUUUUUCCCAAUGUAAACCCAAUUGUCCUGGAUCAGUUGAGGACGAUUGACUGCAUCAUUUAUGCUAUGGGAUCCCUUUUUACUUCCAUCUGCCCAUCUCUGGUUUUACUUGGCAUUGGGGAGAUCAUCGCUUCAAGGUCUUGCCCCAAGGUACUUUUGUUGAAUGGUAUUCAUGACUGAGAAACUAGCGGCUUUUCUGCUGCUUGCUUUGGGUUGGGAGGGUUUCUAGCACAAUCCAACUCUAACCCACAUAAAUAGGUAAUGAAGCUCAAGGAACAGCUUUCCGAGGCAGAGAAGGAGAUACAGAGGCUACUGGAGAGAUGUGAUGGUGUUUCAAGCAACAGCCCGGCUUCAUUGUUCUCCAUGGAAGCCAUGGAUCCACCUCCUUUUCUAGGGGAGUUUGGGAUGGAAGGGUUUGGAAAUAUUUUUUAUGUGCCAGAAAACAAUUACAAUCACAGCAUGGAUUGGGUUAA